rnacentral:lncRNA from 1 species
AAUCCCCGCAGGCGCUGGGUCUGCAGAUGGCGUCCAGGUACACAGUGGCGAGUGUGAUUCCGCAGUCUUGGGCUGUUUGGCCAAGCGCCCGCCGGACAUGGUACGCCGAAGGGUCAUCGGCGUGGAGUCCUCGCUUUCAGCGUCCGCGGCUGGGAAAUCGGCCAUCGCUACGGCGGGAACUGGGACUCGGGCUGCGUCCCGGCCCUUCCACAUCGGUCCACCGCACUCGUGGGCGCCCGCAUUGGUGCUGACAUAAUUUCCUGACCUCUGACCCGUAUUGUCUCGCGAUUAAAGAGCUGCGCCUGGAUCCCUCAGCAGUGAGGAGACCUGAAGACCAGAGGAAACACAGCAAACGGAGCCUUGCUCUGUUGCCCAGGCUGGUGUGUAGUGAUCUCAGCUCACUGCAAGCUCCACCUUCCGGGUUCACACCAUUCUCCCACCUCAACCCCCGGAGUAGCUGGAACUACAGCCUCCUGCCACCACGCCUGGCUAAUUUUUUUUUUGUAUUUUUAGUAGAGACGGGGUUUCACCAUGUUAGCUAGGAUGGUCUCGAUCUGCUGACCUCGUGAUCCACCCGCCUCGGCCUCUCAAAGUGCUGGGAUUAAAGGCGUAAGCCACUGCGCCUGGCUGUUUUUUCAUUUCUAUUAUGAUUUGUCCUGUGGAAUGUCAGUGACUUAGCGGUAUUUUUAUCACACGUUUAUAAAGCUGAAUAGUUUUGUAUGUCAGCUCAGCACCCUUAGUGUCAGCCAUGCUAGUCUCCUGCUGUGCAUAGAUCGAGGCCUGUCCAUACCCGAAUCUCCUGGGUUCCCACUGUCAGCACCUGAAGGUACCCACCAGAUGUGUCUGUCACUUCCCUACAUCCACCUCUAUUGUGGUUCUCAUGUUUCUGCCUCCCUAGAGACCAUUUCUCUGUAGAGCAGCGCUUUCGAAUAGAAAUACAAUGCCAGACACAUAAGUUGUUUUAGAUUUUCUAGUAGUCACUUUAGAAAAGUUAAAAAGAAACAGGUGAAAUUAAUGUUUUAUUUCACCUAAAAUGUUAGCAUUAUCCAAAAUAUCACUUCAACAUCUUAUCAAAAUAAAAUUAUUAAUGAGAUUGGUUACCGUUCCGAUAAAUAGGUGAACUGAGAGCAUACACAGUAGUAUUCUGUUCUAAUUUCUGCUUCACUGUGAGUGUCUUGACAUAGUCUUAAAAGAGUAUUGCUGUGAAAUAUUAUACAUGUAACUCAUAACCUCUACAAUUCUGCAGUUGUAAUUGGUUGUCUUACCUAAUAAUCAGUUGCUUUGCUUCAUAAUAUUUAAAUUGGCAUCUCUAUUUUCCAAAAGGCAUAAAUACUAGUAUAGUUUUUUAGUUAAGCCAGGAGAAAGUUCACUUUAUUUACAUAACUUAUACGUAAAAAUUUAAUAAAUCUCCCUGCUUCUUUUCUUUUGCAUCAUAACAACCACUGAAAAUAAUAUUUCUAUGGCAGUUGGGGGUAAAUGGACAAUAGCUUUUGUGACCAGAGGUGAAUGGCCCAGGGUCUCCAGCACUCCAGGUCCCACUGAGCCUGCCCCACAGCUGAGGGCAUCGGUAUUUCCACACACCUAUAAUGUACAGUGCCCCAGAACAGAGAUCGGAUGCUCUGCUUUAUUCAGAUGGGGUGUUGAGAGUAUUGUCAUUGUAAUUGAAUUAGUAAGUAAGUAUUUAUACACUGUUAAAAUCUGGUUGGAUUUGUGUCCCUUCACAAAACAAAUUGCUUAAAUGAAACCACAGAGUUAACAUAAUUGACUACAUCUGCUUCUAUGAGCUGCUGUUCUA